CAGGGCCAGGCUUCAUGGUGUGACCCCCGAGCAGAGCUGGACACAGACUCAUUACUGACUGAGAUUACACCUGAAGUCCAGGAGGAAGGCAACAUAUACCGGCUGCGGUGUCCGCACCCCGGAGCGUUUCGCUGCAGUCUCACCGGUUUGGUGUUGGAGGGCG